rnacentral:rRNA from 1 species
UACGAGAGGCCCAAACGUUAUUCGGAUUUACUGGGCUUAAAGAGUUCGUAGGCGGCGCGGAAAGUGGGGUGUGAAAGCCCUCGGCUCAACCGAGGAAUUGCGCUCCAAACUGCCGUGCUAGAGGAACCUAGAGGUGAGCAGAACAGAUGGUGGAGCGGUGAAAUGCGUUGAUAUCAUCUGGAAUACCGGAGGCGAAGGCGGCUCACUGGGGGUUUUCUGACGCUGAGGAACGAAAGCCAGGGGAGCGAACGGG